GACGAACGCUGGCGGCGUGCUUAACACAUGCAAGUCGAACGGUAAGGCCCUUCGGGGUACACGAGUGGCGAACGGGUGAGUAACACGUGGGUGAUCUGCCCUGCACUUCGGGAUAAGCCUGGGAAACUGGGUCUCAUACCGGAUAGGACCACUGCCUGCAUGGCGGGUGGUGGAAAGCUUUUGCGGUGUGGGAUGGGCCCGCGUACUAUCAGCUUGUUGGUGGGGUGAUGGCCUACCACGGCGACGACGGGUAGCCGGCCUGAGAGGGUGACCGGCCACACUGGGACUGAGAUACGGCCCAGACUCCUACGGGAGGCAGCAGUGGGGAAUAUUGCACAAUGGGCGCAAGCCUGAUGCAGCGACGCCGCGUGAGGGAUGACGGCCUUCGGGUUGUAAACCUCUUUCAGCACCGACGAAGCGCAAGUGACGGUAGGUGCAGAAGAAGGACCGGCCAACUACGUGCCAGCCGCCGCAGUAA
rnacentral:rRNA from 1 species